rnacentral:rRNA from 1 species
GAUGAACGCUGGCGGCAGGCCUAACACAUGCAAGUCGAGCGGUAAUACAGGGAGCUUGCUCCUGGGUGACGAGCGGCGGACGGGUGAGUAAUGUCUGGGAAACUGCCUGAUGGAGGGGGAUAACUACUGGAAACGGUAGCUAAUACCGCAUAACGUCGCAAGACCAAAGAGGGGGACCUUCGGGCCUCUUGCCAUCAGAUGUGCCCAGAUGGGAUUAGCUAGUAGGUGGGGUAACGGCUCACCUAGGCGACGAUCCCUAGCUGGUCUGAGAGGAUGACCAGCCACACGGGAACUGAGAAACGGUCCAGACUCCUACGGGAGGCAGCAGUGGGGAAUAUUGCACAAUGGGCGCAAGCCUGAUGCAGCCAUGCCGCGUGUAUGAAGAAGGCCUUCGGGUUGUAAAGUACUUUCAGCGGGGAGGAAGGCGAUAAGGUUAAUAACCUUGUCGAUUGACGUUACCCGCAGAAGAAGCACCGGCUAACUCCGUGCCAGCCGCCGCAGUAA